rnacentral:rRNA from 1 species
GAUGAACGCUAGCGGCAGGCCUAAUACAUGCAAGUCGAACGGUGUCUUCGGACAUAGUGGCGCACGGGUGCGUAACACGUAUGCAACCUACCUUACAUUGGGGGAUAGCCUUUCGAAAGGGAGAUUAAUACCGCAUAAGACAGUAGCUGGGCAUCCAGCAGCUGUUAAAGAUUUAUCGAUGUAAGCUGGGCAUGCGUCCAAUUAGCUAGUUGGUGAGGUAGCGGCUCACCAAGGCAAUGAUUGGUAGGGGAACUGAGAGGUCAAUCCCCCACACUGGCACGGAGAUACGGGCCAGACUCCUACGGGAGGCAGCAGUAGGGAAUAUUGGGCAAUGGACGCAAGUCUGACCCAGCCAUGCCGCGCGCAGGAUGAAGGCGUUAUGCGUUGUAAACUGCUUUUAUACAGGAAGAAACGACUCUUGCGAGAGGCAUUGACGGUACUGUAUGAAUAAGCACCGGCUAACUCCGUGCCAGCAGCCGCCGUAAUAC